rnacentral:rRNA from 1 species
GACGAACGCUGGCGGCGUGCCUAAUACAUGCAAGUUGAGCGCUGAAGGUUGGUACUUGUACCGACUGGAUGAGCAGCGAACGGGUGAGUAACGCGUGGGGAAUCUGCCUUUGAGCGGGGGACAACAUUUGGAAACGAAUGCUAAUACCGCAUAAAAACUUUAAACACAAGUUUUAAGUUUGAAAGAUGCAAUUGCAUCACUCAAAGAUGAUCCCGCGUUGUAUUAGCUAGUUGGUGAGGUAAAGGCUCACCAAGGCGAUGAUACAUAGCCGACCUGAGAGGGUGAUCGGCCACAUUGGGACUGGGACACGGCCCAAACUCCUACGGGAGGCAGCAGUAGGGAAUCUUCGGCAAUGGACGAAAGUCUGACCGAGCAACGCCGCGUGAGUGAAGAAGGUUUUCGGAUCGUAAAACUCUGUUGAUAGAGAAGAACGUUGGUGAGAGUGGAAAGCUCAUCAAGUGACGGUAACUACCCAGAAAGGGACGGCUAACUACGUGCCAGCAGCCGCGGUAA